ensembl:snoRNA SNORD58 Small nucleolar RNA SNORD58
UUGCUGUGAUGACUAUCUUAGGACACCUUUGGAAUAACCAUGAAAGAAAAACUAUUCUGAGCAAC